AGAAGUGAUGUAAACACUCCAAAAGAAAUAAAAUGAUUACUUAGUGACUUUUCAGGAGCUACCAUAUUUACCUAUUUUUAUUGCAUUAGGUUCCCUUGUGUUAGUCUUAUUGUUUAUCUUUGCGAAAAGACAAAUAAUGCGAUUUACUUUACGAUCGAGAAGGGGUCCACAUGUUCCAAUUGGUCAUUCCGCACCCAGGUGGCUUAGAAAAGAAAUUGAACGCAGGCUAGACCUUGUUGGCCGAAUCAAACAUGAACCAAAACUUGUUUCUGAAGCUAGUUCAGCUGAUACUCACAACCCUGAAACCUUUUGCCGGAUGCAAGCUAUGGAUGACAUAAAGAUUUUAGAAAUUCAAUUGCAAGCUGCAGAUCCCAAAGCAGGGAGAAUGCCCAAUGAAAACCUCAGCCCCUUUUUAAUGGCUCAAAUUAAUACUGCAAUGUGUGUGCAUGCAAACUUGGCACCGUCAAACAGCUACUGCAUGAAGAGCUUGCCAUUUCAUACCCAGACAAGACACCUUUUACGAACACCAACAUUGGCCAGUACCACAAAUCCCUGAAACAAGCUAUGAAAUCUACCCUGAAAGUUUGACCUUCAACCAACCUGCUGAAAGCUAUGAUCUUCAUCCAUAUUUUCCUGUUACACCAUUUCUUCCAGUUGGCAUUCAUGAAGAAGAUGAAUUUCAAGGUUUCCCUCUGAAUUCCGAAAAUGAUUCUACGCCUGAAAAUUUCAUGAUGUACACCACAGAAAACGGCUCAUUUUUUAUUGAAAAUAUGCUUUCGGAAAUCUCUGUAUUUGCUUACAACAACUUGCCGAAUUGGGGAUUCUCGCAUCCUUUGGGAUAUGUGCUAAAGAACAAACGAGGAUUGUUCGGAUGUUUCACUCUUCACUCUGGAAAGGCUUGUUAUGUCAAAUUUUCGCCCUACUCAAUCAAAUUCUCGAGUAUUAUACAUUGCACCAGAGGUUAUUUUCGUGGUUUGUUGUCAUUCCGAGUAAUAGCAACAUAGUUCCUGAAUGUUUUUUGUUAUCACAUCUGCAGUACCCAAGCUUUAUAUGAACUCAACAUUGUUGAGGAAUUCAAUAGGUUCUUUCUUGACCUGAGUUAUUGGUACUUUUACAUUGCUCAGUGUUCAUCAAGUAGGGAAAUGCAUUCCCAACAGUUUUGAUUUCCCAAUACAAAGAAUGCAACCAACUUCAAUCCACUGGUAGAGAUGGAGCUGUUCCAUUAUAUUUAUUUUUCCUAAAUGUUUAAUUGAAAACAGUUUGUGGUUGUUUUCAAUAAAAAAUUGACAGAUGACAACCACCAAGACCCUAUUAUUUUAUCACCACAACCACACAUCAUCCUUUGUUUAUUAAACCUCUGAAGUUUGGUGCUCUUUGAAACCUCCAGGGCAGUGAUACCGGAAUACCAAUUGCAGCAUCAUCUUCAAUCACACGGCAGUAGCAAUACUGCUUGCUGUUGUGCAAUUCCUUCCUUACAUUCUUCCUUGCUGCAAGCAUCAUAUUUGACUAUCCGAGCGACUACCCAACCGACGUCCAGGUGGAUAACUCUUACUGCCUCCUACUACCGUGCUCUCAACAACAGCAGGGAGUUUUUUUUUCUUUAUUGUUUAUUUUUUUGUGAUUUGUAAUGGCGCCAUGGCGGUUUCUUGAGUAUGACGAGGCGCCGAUGAUUAUUAAUUGCGAGGAGAAUAUUGUGAGUAUCAAGUGUUAUUUUAAGAAAAUCGAUGAGCUAUAGAGCAGGCAUCCCCGAGGAUAAUAACUUUCUUCCUUGAAUAACUAAGUUAAUUCAUAAAAAUUUAUUAUCAGUGUAUUUCAUGUUACAACUAAUACAGAUGCAACAACAGAAACUAAUACAGAUACAAGCUGUUUAGGCUAA
rnacentral:lncRNA from 1 species